rnacentral:rRNA from 1 species
GAUGAACGCUGGCGGCGUGCUUAACACAUGCAAGUCGAACGAGAAGUGAAGACGGAAACCUUCGGGCGGAAGGCUUUAUUUCGAGUGGCGGACGGGUGAGUAACGCGUGGGUAACCUGCCUCAUACAGGGGGAUAACAGUUGGAAACGACUGUUAAUACCGCAUAAGACCACAGCACCGCAUGGUGCGGGGGUAAAAACUCCGGUGGUAUGAGAUGGACCCGCGUUCGAUUAGCCAGUUGGCGGGGUAACGGCCCACCAAAGCGACGAUCGAUAGCCGAUCUGAGAGGAUGACCGGCCACAUUGGGACUGAGACACGGCCCAAACUCCUACGGGAGGCAGCAGUGGGGAAUAUUGCACAAUGGGGGAAACCCUGAUGCAGCGACGCCGCGUGAGUGAAGAAGUAUUUCGGUAUGUAAAGCUCUAUCAGCAGGGAAGAAAAUGACGGUACCUGAGGAAGAAGCCCCGGCUAACUACGUA